rnacentral:rRNA from 1 species
UACGAAGGGGGCUAGCGUUGUUCGGAUUUACUGGGCGUAAAGCGCACGUAGGCGGAUCUUUUAAGUCAGAGGUGAAAUCCCAAGGCUCAACCUUGGAACUGCCUUUGAUACUGGGGAUCUUGAGUCCGGGAGAGGUGAGUGGAACUGCGAGUGUAGAGGUGAAAUUCGUAGAUAUUCGCAAGAACACCAGUGGCGAAGGCGGCUCACUGGCCCGGUACUGACGCUGAGGCACGAAAGCGUGGGGAGCAAACAGG